GAUGAAGAACGCAGCGAAAUGGGAUAAGUAAUGUGAAUUGCAGAAUUCAGUGAAUCAUCGAAUCUUUGAACGCACAUUGCGCCCGCCAGUAUUCUGGCGGGCAUGCCUGUUCGAGCGUCAUUUCAACCAUCAAGCCCCCGGCUUGUGUUGGGGACCUGCGGCUGCCGCAGGCCCUGAAAUGCAGUGGCGGGCUCGCUGUCACUCCGAGCGUAGUAGUUACAUCUCGCUCUGGGCGUGCUGCGGGUUCCGGCCGUUAAAAGCCUUAUUUACCCAAGGUUGACCUCGGAUCAGGGAGGAAGACCCGCUGAACUUAAGCAUAUCAAUAAGCGGAGGA
rnacentral:misc_RNA from 1 species